rnacentral:lncRNA from 1 species
UCGCUUCCCUAGGUCUAUCCUCCCUCGCUUUGAGGCUGUGCAUUACCAGUCUUUGAUUCCAGAUCAGCAGUUACAGAAAUAAAGACAAGAAAGCAAGUAAGUUGUUUAAGGAGUUAGAGUUAGGCUCGAGCUGCAACAGUGAAUUCUGAUCAAGCAGGGGUUUGAUUCCCGCCCCAGAUCCAUAGUAUUGUUUACAUUAAUAUCAGAUUGGAUUCCAGGGCUCGCAGGUGCUAGUUAAAGAAAGAGAAAGUCAAGGUAGGCUAACAGUGUUAGGUAGUUGUGAAGAAUAAGAGUAAGUCAAAUAAGCUUUAAGGUCAAUAAAGCAAGGUCAGCGUCAGCUGCUGGCUGCUGGCUCAUUCUGAAAGUGACAUAAAUGAGUCUGUUAGCGGACCCCGGGGCACUUGGUCUUUGUUCGUUCGCGCAUCAGUCAACGUCAACUCCGCCUUGAAAUAACAUAACAAAGUCUGUGGAUGGUUGCUUUUAGUGUCUCAUCGCGCCCACUCUACUCGGCAAGGUAAGUUUAGAGAUAGAAUCCGUGUGUGUGUUACGUUGAGUAGAUAAAGAUCCCUUUUGAACCUAGUGUAGCUAAGCAAACUACAAAUAUCAAAUCGAAUAUCAAUCUAAUACGAUAAAACACAUUCUACUAAAUAGAGCUAAGUAAUGCCAAUCAAAGAGUAGAGUGCUGCCCGCCUGCGAAAGAAAAGAACUAUACCCCUGUAGGAACUAGAACCUUGCUUGUUAGAUCAAACCAGCUACUCUGCUUUCUCAUUCCUCGAAUCCGCUCUCGAUGACUGGGACUAAGCCCUCCAAUUACUAUGGUUCCCAUUACUAUGUUUCUCAUGCCUAUGUUUCCCAUGCGGGUAGAGGUCCGCUACUCCUUUAUUGAAAUAGAACUUUACUGCAUCUCGGGCUUAACUAACUACCGGAGACAACCCUACCGCUAUAAUACUUUGACUACUAACCCUCAGAUCCAACUACGCCUAACAACUUUCGCUACUGCAUCUAAAGCGACAACUCCUAUCUGGCCUUAUACUACAUCCUGACUUGAAAACUCCAAUUCCCGACCUCAGAUCUGGCUUCUUAGCUCUAGUCUUGUGCUUGCCCAUUGCAUUCUUUCUUGUUGGUUUCAAACUUCAACUGUCCUAACUUUCAUUCCGUAGUUCUCUUAUCAGUCUUAAAAGCAGCAUUGAAAACCUUAUUUCUCCCCGUAAGCGCUAGUGCAAAGUCCGAGUGUUGAGCUAAAGUCUAAUAGAACUAGUUAAAGCCUAAAAGCUGUAUAGCAAAACCCCGGUUGAUCCUUGUUGUCAGUAGUCGAAGCCUAGAAGCAACCCUCGGCGCCAGAUCAUACCUUUCUGAGUUUUAGUGCUUUAUCAGGAGCAGCUAUAGCCUUGGUUCCUUGUUCUAUUCCGCUACCUAUGAGUUCGAUCCACUUCGAUUCCCGGUUGAUUUGUUUGAUUCUGCCUUGACUUACCUCUGCUCCUAUGUUUGAGCCUGUCUUUCCCGGGGUCUCUCCUCUCUAGGUGCUGAAAGCCUAUGAUGAGAAGACAGGCGAUAUAGAGUAGUAAAGCAUCCUUUCUAAAUGUGGAGCUGAUUGGAACCUCCUCCCAUUGGUGAAACGGAAACGAUCUUUAGCAAUCGUGGAUUGGUGUUCAGUAGUAUAUUAUUCUAAAGUAAAGAAGUCGUUCCGUUUAGGCGGGCAUUUCUUAAGGAGACGAGCGUGCAACUACAACAAGUCACUUGAUUUCUGUUUCCGAUCCCCGAGUUCAGGUAUUCUCAUGAAUCUACGGAAUGACAAGAGUAGGGACUACCCUCAUACUAGCCUCCGCUCAUUGGAAAUCAAAACCUGGGCCUCUUUACAUCAAACAAAAACAACAAGGUAGGGACGAGGUUUCUGUGAUCGGAGCUUACAAAAUGGAAGGUUGGUGAACAUUCCGAUCCCGGACUUUUGGCUACCUUACUAAAACCUUAAAAUGAGGUAAGGGCUGCCCAUUAUAUAUGGGAAAUAGAGGCUAUCACGGCCUAACCAAUAGACACCAUUCUAGCUCCACACGCGGUCUAAACUCACUAUAUUCCCCGACUCCUCACUUUCCGUGGAUUAGCUAGCUGCCUUACUUAGUGAAAGUGUCUUCGACUUAAAGCAAUCAAUCAUGCGUACCUUCUUGCUGUGUGGCUUGCUUAAGGGGUAAGGUAAAUUAACAUCUCUAGUGGUCCUACUUACCUUAACAUCAAGGUUCAAACGAAAGAAAGAGAGCGGAGCACGGGAUUCUGGCUUUUUCACAGGUAAGGGGAAUCCUUUGUAUAAGAUGCUUUCAUUAUAUAUGAAUAGAAAGAAUACAUCUUUCCGGAUGGUCUUGAUUUCUAAAUAAGAAAAGAAAGAGAAAUUCGAAAGAAUACAUCUUUCCGGAGGGUCUUGAUUUCUAAAUAAGAAAAGAAAGAGAAAUAGGCUUAUGUGCGUAUUGAAGUACGUGCACUUUCCUUUGUUCAGGAAAGCUUUCUUUGUCUUGAAGAUGCAAUGUUAAUCAAUAACGUCUUGUUCUGACCAAUCUAUGUUCCCGCUGUGAAGAAAAGAAAACGGAAGAGAAAAGAGCAGACUGGAAUAAGGACUUGGUAAUAACUCGUUCUGACGCCGACGAAGAAAGGACCAAGUAGCUCAUUCCCUUGUCCAGACAGUAAGACAUCUCCUAGAAAGGCUGCUUGCUAUAAGGGAAGGAAGUAGGUAAGCAGACUGGGGAGUUGGGCUUGCACCUACUUCUCCUUUACCGAAAAAAGGAAAAACGAUGCUAUACCCUAGAGUGGGGAACAAGAGUCAGAGAUCAGGGUAACAGAUCUCAGAGCAGGUUACGACUACGAAAGUGGAUAUAAUCUGUCUUGGCCUCUGAGGAAGGCAGCUAAAAGGGGAGCGGGUAUUGAAGAGCCUCGAAAGUCAGAUGGGACAGUUAGAGAUUUAGCGGCACGAGGGUAAACGGCAAGGUACGAGAGGAAGAUCCAGAGGGUAUACUUCUAAUGCAGGCAUGCCAUGAGUUCAUGCGAGGUUACUGUUUUCUACCCGUGAGGUUCGGGCAAAGGCAUAUGAGUUCCGGCUGAUACUCUUUGGUAGUAGGAUACUAAAUACAUCAAGCAGGGUUCCAAUCAAACAAUUAUAUAGGAUCGAUUGAGUAGAGCAUGUGCACACGGCCACCAGUCGUUUCUCAUGGGCUUGGAAGCUUGAAGUGAGAGAUCGGAUCGGACGCCAAUGGUUAUACCUGCUACAAACCUUCGAUUCUUGCUUUAGAAAUACGACCACAUAAAGUAGAGACUAACCAUCCAUUAUUUCAUAGUCGUAUGUUAUUAAUCCACCUUAGUUGUCCAGUUCACUUGUAAGAUCAAAGAGUAUAUAACUCUUUCUUCAACACUCCGGUCAAAGAGACCUCUCCAUCCAUAUAUCCAACAGGUGGGUCUCGGUCGUGAGGGAGUACGCUCAAUUUGUUCCGAUGAGCGCCUCGAAGUUCAGGCCUUAGGUUUUACAAAGAUCAGUAUAGUGUGUGAGGUGUCAUAUAUGAAUUAUUAGCACAAGAUUGGAAUUGAUCCGCUGAGUGACAAGUCUGCUAGUGACCAACCAUCGAGUAAAGCUAGGAGCACGCCGAGAACCAAUGGCUUAAGAAACUCAUGCCACAACAAGGGGUGAUGAAAGACUCGUCAGAUUAUUCUCACAGCGCUUCUAAACUAUGCUAAUCGGUCACUUCACUAUGAAAAAGGGUGUAUUUUCUGUCUUUCGUGCUUGCCACGCCGCACAAUAAGAGGGCUUGCUUUGCUUCUUCUUUCGCCGCUUCCGCUGCAGCAGAGUACCUUGACACCACUUAUUAGUGAGCACUUGAAGAUCAUAGUUCGAUCGAACGCUCCUCUAAGUGCUUUUCUUUGUAUUCGUAUCAAAAUGAAGAGUACUUUUCUACCAAAUACCCGGGUAAAUGGAAUUGGUUGGAUACCCCAGAGCCAAGAAAGACAAAGGUAACAAACCGCAGAGGCCGAAUACGAGGGCCGGGAGUUAGGGGAGUUAUGUUGGGUAAUUGUACGAUGGAUGCUAUGUCCUCAGGCGCUCAGUCAGGUGCUAUUGAGCUCUUUAUUCCGAUUCACUUGUAAGCAGAAGGCGAGCUAGGAGCCAAGCACUACGAUAAGAUCUAUCAGACGACGACUAGCGGGGUCGAUCUUACUUUACUGAGUAAGUGUAAGUGAGGUUACAGAUAAUGAGCUAUGAUAUACCCCUCUUAACAAAGUGAAAGACCCAAAUUUCCUAUAUACUCUACAAAAUCUCAUUCAUUGCUAUUCCAUUUGCAUUUGGUUAUGUUUAUUGUUAUCCACGCUAUGAUGUAAAGGAAUUCCUACUAAAUGAAGCAUCUGAAUGCCAUGCCCUUCUUGACUCCGAACAACAUGUUCUAUUAGAGACGAGUUGCUUUACGCCCUUGUUUUGAGUUCUCUUCUCGCUCUUCACUGGUCUCCCAGAACUAAGAAGGUGUUAUUUUGGAAGCUGUUGCCUUUUACGCUGUUAGCGAUGAGUGAGAUGAUGCCACACCAACAACCACCUUAGAAAGCACUUAUGCGUAUAAAACGACUUCCCUUGAUGCUGCCAUCUUCGUCUGCUCUUUCUGCCCUCAGUAGGUUCUUCUUCUGUUUCUUUUCUACUGACUCUGUAUCCGCAAAUGAUGCUUUUGGAUUAGGUUCUCCUAUCUAAUAACAACAAAACUAGUAAAAGCAGUGAAAAAAGCACUUUGGACUUUGGAACUGCCUGAGCCCGCCCGGUUAAGCUCUUCUUCUUAAGACCGGUUUUAGUUUGAAUCAACGCUGGGCAGAUUGUUCUCCUACUCGAGUUCAAAGGGUCUUAUAAUUCAUAGCUAUUCUUUCCUCCAAACUAUCCCGCCAGUCAGUGGAUUGGAGACCAGUCUUCAGACAAGCAAGAGAGGAGAAGGGCACUCACCCUAUCUAUCCCAUUGAUCCAUCCAGUGGAAAUACGAGGAUUCUCCUAUUACUAAGCUUAUGGGAGAGAAUAGAGUCAAGCUAGCGACCAUACGAAGAUUCUCCUAUUACUAAAGCUUAUGGGAGAGAAUAGAGUCAAGCUAGCGACUGUCUAGCCUCCUGAACUCUUUCGCGCGUACAUCUUGAGACUCAAAAGGACAGUUCCGCUUCUCUUUCACCGUUAGAACACUCGCGGAUAGAACAGGAAGAAAAGAGGGUGGGUUCUGGUCAUACUUGCUCGCAACAGGUGCUUCUUUCUUUCCCGCAACCGAGGAGCUUACCUUAUGCUUUUGCCCUACCUCCUUUGAUUCCUUUUAUCUCAGUACUGGUUCAGGUUCGAAAUAGGUAGUUAUUAUCGGAGGUAUUCUCCUUUGACAAGGUUUAGUAAAUAUAAUAUACUCUAACCGGCCCUCUUACUCUUAAGUCAGUUCGAAGCAAGAUAUCCGUUAUUAGGACACAAAACCAGCCUUCACUUACUUACUUAAAUGAAAUAGGAAUAAGGAAACUAUAGUCGACAGUCUUUAAGAAGAGAAGAUUAGAACCAAAAAUGAGUCGUCCCACCUAGCCCCAAAAGGGAGAACGGAAAACCAACAACAACAUGAAAGAUGAAAGCGUUCCUCCCCUCACUCUAAUGUCUAAUGCCCCUUAAAAAAGGGUACCUUCUCUCCACUCGCCUUAAAGCGCCAUACGGGGUAGACAAAGUGACAUUCAUUGUCAAUAAAGAAAGAAGAUCUUUUGUCUCUCGCUUAGCUUUGGAAUAUGCUAUGAUAUUAUGUUUCCAAGGGUCUGAUAGAACUAAUCCUGCUGCAAUUAGUUUCAAUAAAUGAAUAAAGGUUCCUGAGACCCGCUCCCCUUUCUUUUCCCAAUUGGGCUUUGCGCCACUUCGGAGAGUGAAACGCACGAAAGGAGGUAUAAUUCUUCCUUUUUUGAGCCUUGGAGCCGAAGGAAGACAAAUGGGACUCGCAUCCAUUGAGAAAAUGACUUUCCCUGCAAGCGAUACAACUAUAGAGUGUGAAAGUGCUUGUAUUGACCGGAAGCGCUGGAGAACUUAAGAUGAAGAUGGUACCAUUGAGAAAGAGAAAAAUAGAAUAGGUUAACUAAGGCUAAAGAAGAAAGAAGACCUAUCGACUUAUUACACUUCGCCCUUGAUUUUGGAUACUGGAGGGCAGCUCCCACUAGUUCUGUUCUAUAGGUAUCUGUAGUUGUAAUAGGACUUACUUCUCGACCGGAUUACCCAAGCUUUAGCUUAGCCGAAAUUGGUAUUUUAUUGGGUGGGCUGGGCGCUUUCCUUAAUGCGACACAUCAAAAUAAGGUCAAUGAAGAAUGCUGUCUAACCGAUCCUCAUCGUCCCGGAAUCAUGGAAUUGGGUUGGUGUUCUUUCGGGCUUAAUUCCCCUUUCGAACUUUAUUAUACCUCUGCUGCCCACAGAAUCAAAGAGAAGGACAAAGACGCCUAGAUCGACAUGGAUUCUAGAAAAUGCUCCAUCAUGAGUCGAGCCAAUAACUAAUGAUCCUGUCUUCCUGUUCGCCUAAUGGCUAAAAUAUGAAAAAGAAUUCUCCUUUCGCGAGAGAACUGGUAAAGUUAUUCCUUUUCAUGGACCUGCAACAUCCUGGGACUAUCCAUUCGAAAGAGCUAGAGCUUGAAGGAAGACCUCCUUCCCAUAAUUAGAGUGGAAAGGGAAUCUUAUACACCAAACCUGUAAAGAAGGCAUGAACAAUAGAUAGGGCAUCUAGCGAAUGCUUGGAAUGGGUUCGCCUCUCAGCGCCUACUAUGAUUAUAUAGGCAAUUAGUGAAAAUACAGAGAGUUAGGAGAAGCUUCAGAGAGAUCAUACGAAUAGGACCAAAAGGAGCCCACAUCGAUAGGGUCAUUCAUAAGCCGAGUUCUUCCUGGGAUGAAAGCCUGAAACUAGAAAUGUGACAGUUGCAGUUUUCAAGUAAGCAGCAAUCGGGUAUCUCGGUCAAAAGUCAACAGUGGAGGUUGGGCGCUAAGAGAGUUUAGUUCCUACUUCCGGACCCCAAUCCAAUAGUACCCUUUUUGCUAACGCUGUUCAUAGUAGCUAAGGUCGCCUGUAUACGGAGCCAGAGUAGGAAUAAGAUUCAAGGAAGCCCCAAAGAAAAGAAGAAAUACCCACGUAACGCUUAAGCUGUGCGAGUAGAAUGAAUUGGUGUUGGCAAUUCCGGUAGUUUAGUUCGGGUCAAGCCAAGUAUAAGGGCUGGAAGAAUAGAUAAGGAAAGGCAAUGUCAAGUGUUUGAGGGAAUGGCGUGAAAAGCCCUAUUUAUUGUCGUUUAAGCAAGGGGAAACUAAGAGAAUCAUACUAAGGAUUCAUCUCUUGAAACAGCCAAGACACGCAAAGACAACUAGAAACGCCAAGACACGCGCCAAGUCACUCCUAAUGUGUAGCGGCAGCCUUCUCCACUUUUCUGGAUUAUUUGUGAUUUCUAAUUGAUUGUUUUCCAAGGUGAGAAACAUAAGCCUUCGCCAGGUAAUAUAGAAUCCAUCCAAUCCAAUCCGGUAACACUCCCUCUCCCUAGUCAUUAACUCUUCUUAUCAUAGCCAUUACCUUUCUUUUCUCCUUCUCUUAUUAGCCUAGCAACAAUAUUGAUUUAUAUAAUAAAGACGUUAGGCAAACAUUUGAUACCUCCCGUAAGCUCGUUACGCUUAACGCCCACUUACUUAAAGACUCGUUUGACUCAAGAAAUUCGAAUAUUGAUUUGAGUCCAGAAGCUGUUGCCCUUAUCCGGAUUUACCCAGUGAGGUUGGCGCUUUUGAGUCAACGUUGACACUUUCAAUGUAUGGAUCAUACCAUUACUGAUUAAGUCGUAUAGAAAUAUAGUGCUGGCAGAAAGGCACUCUCAAAGCAUGGAAUUCCCAAGCAGGCAGAUUCGAAGGUAAGGUCAAAAGUGCAAGGCAAAGCUUAGUCUCUGUCUGAUCCUAGGUGAACCACCUUUAGCUUUCGAUAAGACAGUUCAAGCAGAAAGAAGGAUCUCAAUUACUUUACUUUCGGCGUAAGACACAGUUUUCGGGAGCGGAGUUGGCAGGUAGCCCAGGAUUUCAUAAGUCACAAUUAUUGGUCUCCUUUGAAAGCGGGGUUGCCUAUGAAAGCGCCCUUUCCUACAACUAGUAUAAUAAUGCCGUCAUCACUUUGAUUUUAGUUGAUGAGGUGAUCAGAUCUCGCCUCUAGGCAGGUCGAAGAACAGAUUGUUAUCACAGUGCUACCACCGAAUACAACAAUUAGACAGCUCAGUUAGGAUUUCUCCCAGACAUUCCUAGAGUAAACCCUACCUUACUCGGGAAAUUUCACAUUUCAGUCUCUAAGUUCGCUAGACCAAGCUGUAAAGAAGAUGUAUAUAGCGGUAGACAGUUAUAGACGUGUGGGAACUCUUUUCCUAUCUUCCUCUCGCACACCGUUAUUGGUUACGAAACCUAGCUCCCGGGUCGGUCCUUUCGCCGGGCCACCACACAAAGGGGACAAGGCCUUCUUCUCUAGUCUAGGAUUCUCCACCAGGUGCCUCUUCGGAUUCGGAUGUAGAUGCGUCUUCCCUUGAUUUACUCCACAAUAUACCCACUUCAGGAACUAUCAGCUGGAAUGGGUUCUCCUUCUUUGUUAAGCAGAGACAGGUUCAGAUGUGGUGGUUUCCGCCCUCAUUCACAUUGGUAGGGGUAUGCCGCACCCGAUACUUUACCUUACACUGGGAGUACUACUUUCUACAAGCAAGGCAGGUUUGAAAGGCCCAGGCCAGCCCUUCCUUUCAUAGGAAAGAGCAAUUACUUCGCUUCCUUCGGAACCUUUGUUUGAAUGCUUAAGCCUAGAAAGAUCAUUCGUUAAGAAAACAGAUAGAAUAUUCUAAGAAAGUAAAUAGGAAUUGCUAUCACCUUAAGGUUCAAAAGCAAGCAUGAGACUGAAUAAAUAAGGCAUCUGUAGCAAAGUAAGUAGCAAAGGAAGUAGUUUAAUGCUGACUAACCGGCUACGGCCCCCUAAAAUGAGCUCAAGCUUUACGAGUGGACGAGGACCGAUGUUCAUGUGCGUCAGUUGUUAUGGAGUUAUGUGUAUUAGAGUGACAACGGCCAAGCAACGGAUAGACAAGAUAUGUUUAAAUCGUACCGAGUCCUGGCUUUGUUGUUUCCCAAUACCAGUAGUAAGAGGGAGUUUCUAACCUGGGCUCAUCAGAGUGUGAGACUAGCUCUUGGAUUCGUUCUGCCUGUCAUUCUACUGCCUUUCAUUCUAUAUCCCUUAGUACUGUUUUCUCUCCUCUAUCUCUUCCAUCCCUUGUCAAGCCUUUGUCUAAGUGUUUUAAGGUUAAGUGAGCAAGACAGUGAUAAAUAAAGUGCUUUGAUCCUGUGAGCAAUCCAAUUACUUGCCAAGCAACUAGACAGCUAGGAGGAGCAUGUUGCCAGGACUUGGUAAUAUAAUGAGUCAUCUCUCAUGAAAAACCAUUUCCCCCCUUAUAAGUAUUCAUUCGAACAUGGUUAUGACCGAUAGAUAUGACCGAUAUCCGUCAAAGAAAUCAGUAACAUUAGGUCACAAGUUCUUCUAUACCUAUGGCUCCGAUACCUCUUCCAACUAACCUAACUCCCAAACCACAUAGAGAGUAGGCAAGCAGACAACUAGCUACUCUCAACUACUGGACUGGAACCCUUUACUAUACUUGCUGUAAACUUUACCUCUCCUCAAGCGACUAUAACUACUCAAGCGACUAUAACUACUCAAGCUACUCAAGCGACUAUAACUACUCAAGCGACUAUACUUCUGGCUCUUCUCUGCUAACUUCUUUCUUAUCUUAUACCUCUGGCAACAAAGCCCUAAAUAAGAAGUUCCUCUUCCUUCUUAACCCUCCCUCGACUUGAAAGACUGUAAACUCGAACAAGUCACUACUUUACCGCAACUCUGAUAUCCAAUACCUAUGGCUACUACACCUAUUCUCUAAACUAAGAGAAGAGAUCUGCUUUCACUAUGCGCUCUAAACACUGACGGAGACCCUACCCUAAGCUCUAACUCUACAAGCAGAAGCGCUUGCAGCCUACUUACUUUAUACAGCUCCGGAUCUUGUUCUUUCUACUCUAACUCCAAAACUCCACUUUCCGAAUCAACUUCACUUGCAUAACCGCUUGUAGCUUCCUUUAGUCAAGCAUCUGCUCCUGCUUAUUCUUAUAGGUUAGGCCUGGACAACUUAAACGUAGAAACUCCAUUCUUAAAGGAGUACAUGCCUGGUUGGUUACCCAUAGCAAUUCUACCUAGCUCAAUCCUAUUCUUCUGUUUAGUCCUCCACAGUGGAAAUUAUGACUUUAGAGUCACAUUCUUUAUUGUGAGUUUCGAGCCCUAGGUGGGUGACCUUUUUCUAUUAAACAGAGCUCCAUCCCCUUAUUCCGCUUUUGACCUUCAAGUUCCAUUCUGAUAUGUAUGUUGUUUCAUUCUUUGACCAGAUUGGUUAAGGGCACGUACACUCAUAUUCCGUAUACCUCGCUUCCAAUCCUGAUCCAGAUCUUGAUUCCGCUUCCUUACCUGAUCCUAGAAAUGGCACUGUCCUAGCUACUGACUUGCGUAUGCGAGGUGGAUUCUUGGAUUUACUGGUUGGAGAAAUUACAAUAAGGAACUACUUAGCUCAAUUCUACCCCUUGCCUUGAGAGCUCCAUUCUAUCCCCUGUCAGCUUAGGUUCAUUCUUUGAUUUACUGGCUGUAUUCUUAGUUGUACUUGUUUAAGUCUUUCCCUUGCUAGCUAUAUUCUCUGUGGUACUGCUUUGAGUCUCGGUGGUAUCGGUUUGAAGGAAUUCUAAUAAAAUAAGGGUCGAAAUCCAGCUGAAGUCUUGUUGGUACUGGUUGAAGUCCUGGAGUUAGUGGUCGAAGAAAUUAGAAUAAGGUCCUCACUACUAUCAUUCUGUUUGUUAGUAGCUAUGGCGCCUUGGACUCCCUGGGUUCAGUCUGAUAGUUAGUAGUCGUAUUCUUAAACUACCUCGUUGCAUUCCUGUCCUUGCUAGCUCCCCUCUGAGUGGUAUCGGUUUGAUUCUCACUGCCACUGGGUUAAGUCUGGGUAGUUAGAUGCCUUAGCCCUGUUACCCUGUGUUUCAGUCUUGUGGUUACUGUAUUAAGUCUUAGAGUCUUAUACUAGAUGAUAGGAGAAUUUCUACCUUUUAUAGAUCUGUAGUCCAGAGGCCCUUUUAUUAAGUCGCCAUAGUGGAGUUCGGAAAAAGGAAAGUGAUGUUUCCCUAUAUUUCCCUAUAUAAGUAGAGUCAACGGUCUCCUAUGGUUUACUCUGCUGUGUCUGUACUUAGUCGGUAUAUGAUAAAGAGAACUUGGUUUUCGUCUUUGUUUAUCAAUUCCUAAAGUUUUCUGUUCCAUGAACUCACUCCUGACUGCUUCCUCGGUAGCUAGGUAUGACAGAGCAACCGAAGCUUCUGUUUCUGUAGACGCCAGGUAACUACAGAGGAAUGGAAUUGAGCUCUUCAUAAUAGAAGUAAGUUGGUAACCACAGAGCAUAGGUAGCUGAACCCAUAAGGGAAUCAAGAUCUGACUUAGUUCAAAGAGUUAGAGUAGAGGAUAAGAAUUCAGUUCAUUGUUUACAGAGGUAGAUUAGAGUCAAGCUUCUCAGUGCCAGUUUUCUUCUUUGGUCCGCAAGCCAAGGUGUCAGCCUCAGGUAGUGGAAUGAUUUGUUUCAAGGGGAUGGGUUCUACUACGGGAGAGAGUAGCUCUAGUUUCAUGAGUUGUCGAUUCAGAAUCCCUUGUUGCAUUUAGUACUGCUUCUGUUCUGGUUAGAGUGGAAUGAUUUGUUGCGAGUAGUUGCUAGUUGGCAUUUCAGAAUCAAACAAGUCAGUAGAAGCCUUAUANNNNNNNNNNNNNNNNNNNNNNNNNNNNNNNNNNNNNNNNNNNNNNNNNNNNNNNNNNNNNNNNNNNNNNNNNNNNNNNNNNNNNNNNNNNNNNNNNNNNNNNNNNNNNNNNNNNNNNNNNNNNNNNNNNNNNNNNNNNNNNNNNNNNNNNNNNNNNNNNNNNNNNNNNNNNNNNNNNNNNNNNNNNNNNNNNNNNNNNNNNNNNNNNNNNNNNNNNNNNNNNNNNNNNNNNNNNNNNNNNNNNNNNNNNNNNNNNNNNNNNNNNNNNNNNNNNNNNNNNNNNNNNNNNNNNNNNNNNNNNNNNNNNNNNNNNNNNNNNNNNNNNNNNNNNNNNNNNNNNNNNNNNNNNNNNNNNNNNNNNNNNNNNNNNNNNNNNNNNNNNNNNNNNNNNNNNNNNNNNNNNNNNNNNNNNNNNNNNNNNNNNNNNNNNNNNNNNNNNNNNNNNNNNNNNNNNNNNNNNNNNNNNNNNNNNNNNNNNNNNNNNNNNNNNNNNNNNNNNNNNNNNNNNNNNNNNNNNNNNNNNNNNNNNNNNNNNNNNNNNNNNNNNNNNNNNNNNNNNNNNNNNNNNNNNNNNNNNNNNNNNNNNNNNNNNNNNNNNNNNNNNNNNNNNNNNNNNNNNNNNNNNNNNNNNNNNNNNNNNNNNNNNNNNNNNNNNNNNNNNNNNNNNNNNNNNNNNNNNNNNNNNNNNNNNNNNNNNNNNNNNNNNNNNNNNNNNNNNNNNNNNNNNNNNNNNNNNNNNNNNNNNNNNNNNNNNNNNNNNNNNNNNNNNNNNNNNNNNNNNNNNNNNNNNNNNNNNNNNNNNNNNNNNNNNNNNNNNNNNNNNNNNNNNNNNNNNNNNNNNNNNNNNNNNNNNNNNNNNNNNNNNNNNNNNNNNNNNNNNNNNNNNNNNNNNNNNNNNNNNNNNNNNNNNNNNNNNNNNNUAGAACAAAUAUGGAUCCUUUUUAGGCUUGGCCCCUCCUGAAAUGAUAUCUUAUCUUAUAUAGGAGAUAGUUUCGAAAGAGAGAAGCCAACAUAGAGAAUAGUUGCCUGUUGCCAUAGUUCGGGCCCUUAUAGUACUUUCUUUCCCCUUGUAAUGGAGGUCGGGUGCUCAAACAAAAGAAGUUGGUUCGGGUCAGGCACUUAUUAGAGGUCAGGUCAUCAAGGGGAGUUAUUGUUUCAAGAGCCAGAGUGAGGUUUUAGGUUAAAGAGUACAGAGCCCUAGGUUGGUUCAGAGCAAUCUAUCUUAUACAAGAAGCCGAGGAUCAUCUAGAAUAAUGUCCUGUCGAAUCAGAGGUGUAGUGUAGUGGUAAAGUUCAAUCCGUAUUUGUUAGUUUACAGAGGUAGAUGAGACUGUAGGUCUGUUAUUCUUCUUAUGUUAUGAGUAGGAAUACCUGGUAGUCCUGUUUCAUAAGAGGUAGCAUAGAAGUGAUAAGAGAUGCUAAAGUAAGUAAAGUCUCUUUCUGUUCUUGUGUAGGUUAAAUAGCCAGCUGCUGUAGUGGAGUGGUAGGUUUCAAGCCCUGAGCUAAGUAGUGAAAAAGUUUCAUAUCAAGUAGUUGUCCAGUGGAAUCCCCAACAAGUAGCAUCCCAGUAGUAGUGGUCCUGUUUACAGAUAAGGGAGUCGAGGUAGGCAUACAAUAAGAAUGGAAAUAGAGUUGACAGUUCCAGUUAUCAAGUACAGAAGCUAGACUUGCUUUUUCAUAGCAUUGGUUGAGUGACGGAGCCCGUAGUAGUUGACAGAGGAGUAGUUAGUGGAAUACCGAGUUUAGUCUUAAAGUCUGGUUUCGGGUUCCAGUCCAGUAGUAGUAGCUUGGCCCAGUUAGUAGUUAGUAGAUCCCUUAUUCUUUGUAGUAGUAGUAGUAGCAAGAGAAGAGCCAUAGGUAAGAGGUAGCAUGGAAGUUAGCAUAGAGGAGCAAGCAGAGUUCCUUUAUUCACUAGCGGCAGAGCAGAGGGUAGUAAUAGAUUUGGAGAGUUAUUAACGAGUCCUGUGUUUGGGAGUGGUUAGUUGACAGAGCCAUAGUUUAGGUCGGGGAAGACAAUAAGUGUAGCAAGAGGAGAGGUGUAGUAGCCGAACACUAGCGGCAGGCAAGGGAAGUUUUGUUUGGUGCUAUAGCUCUAGUAAAGUUGCUAGGGUAGGCUGAGGCUUGUUCCAUUACUUGUUUACUUACUCGUUGGGAUGUGGGUAGGUAUUCCCUUGUUUGAUCUGUUGGGUAUGCUUGUUUUCAUUCCUUUACUAGGUCGGGUAGUCAAAAGAGAGUACCAUCUUUUAGGGUAGGGUCGGCUGGUUUACUUACGGGCUCGGGUAGUUUACUGACUUGGAAAACAAGAAAUUAGAAAUCAUAAAUAAUCCAGGCCAAGUAACUGCUAAUGUUACGCGGCAGCAAGUGACAGUCAUAACGAAGUUAUUACAAUAUAUGUCUUCGCGUUUUGAAACCCGUGUACUGACUAAGUAGAGGAAAGCCUACUUCAUUCUAUAUUCUCUUUAUAUAGGUGAACGGAUGAAACCACCGCUUCCAAGGCUGAUAUCAGUGCUACUCAGAACCAAACCUGUGAGUUACAGGCUGCAGCUGGGUAGCUCGGGUCUCUAACAAGUGCAGGGCAGACUGCUAUUGGGUAGUGAUAGGCUGAAGCUAAGGAGGGAAAGACUUAAAGCAGUGCCAGCAAGACUACAACCAUUGAGUCAAAGAAUGGGACGAUUGAGGGCAAGAAUGCAGCCACUACAACCAAGAAUGCAACCGGGGAGUGAAAGGCCAAGCCUGAAAGUAGGGAGUCCAAGGCUUAAAGCAAGGGUAGUAAGUCCGAUGCUAGGUAUUGGUAUGUAGCUAAGGUAGCUAGGGUCUCAAUUGAGCUAGUAUUGGUAUGUAGCUCGCUCCUGUAGCUCUAGUUCGAAAGUCAGAAUGUACCUAAGGAGUUAAAGAGUGGAGCUAGAGUUAAAGAGUGUAGCUAGUAAGGGGUAGUCCAGGUAGUCCUGGUAGUCCCGGUAGUCCUGUGAGAGGUAAGUUAGAGUCUAGGUCGGCACUUAAAGGAUAGGUCGGCAGACAAUAAGAAUGGAAUGGAAUUAGGUGACUCCGGAGAGGCGUAGUUGCCAGCAGCUGGGCUUGUUAAAAGAAGUAGGCUAGUAGGAAGAAGUAGGCUAGUAGGAAAGAGGUGAGCUAGUAGGAAAAUAGGAAUGAAACUAAGAGGUCAGCUUGUAGGAAAGCUAGAAAUAUAUCUUAUAUUAUUAAAGAAAGCAGAAUGUCAUAGAAUAGAUGUGGUUGCGCCUAUUAUGUGUGCCUAUUAUGUGUGCCUAUUAUGGGUGACCUGUAGAAUAGAUGUGGGUGCCUCCCCUGAGGGGAUCUAUCGAAUCAAUCCAUUAGGGCUGGAGUGGUGGACUGACUUGUGGAAUUCUCCGUUAGUGCUGAGGAAGCUAGUCCUUCUUUUGGUGUUCUUGUUGAGGGAAGCUGUGGAAUCAGUAUUUGCUUUGAAAGAAAUCAAGAAAUCAAGUGGAGCAAGAGGUCAGAGGUGGAUGAACCAGACCAGAGGAGUGGUGUCAGCAGAGCAGGAGUAUCGAGUUUACUUAACACUGGCAUAAUGACUUCAUUUCUCAGAAAAACGAAUUGGAUUUCUCCUAGACCAACUCUGUACUAGCUAAGAAGGGAAAAUGAGUUAUAUAAAUCUCUGUUAUUAUAUAGGUGAAUUGGCUUGGCCCCCGCAUCUAGGUUAAGAAUCAAACUAACUAGCCAAAGAACCAAACCAGAGGAGUGCUAUCCAGGAAUGAGAGGAGUAAAACCGGUGCUAUCAGGAAUGAGACAAGGUAGUUAAAGAAUAGAUCUGGGGCUACUCAGCCUGAUACCACUACAAGCAAGCCUUAAAACAGUGAACCCGAGGCUCAAACCCAUGCCCCAAGCCUUCAACCAGUCAAUCCAAGGCUUCACCAAGGGAGUUACAGGCUGUAGCUGCUACCAAUCAGAAUGCAACCCGAGCUGGGCAGACUUAAAGCAGUGCUAACAAGACCUCAACCGGUGCUUCCCAGGCUGUUGCUAGGGGAUGAGAGAAUGGAGCUAAGUAGUUCGAGGCUACAACCACUACAAGCAAGCCCGCUAUUGGUGCUCCUCAGAACCAAACACUGCAUUCCAAGCCUGAUGCUAUGUAGUAUGGGACUGAAGCGGGGUAGAGAUAGGAUGAAACCAAUGAGUUAGAGAAUGAAGCUAAGGAGUGGGAGAAUGGGGCUGAUCGGGGUAAGCCUGAAACAAGGUAGUUAAAGACACUGCCAAUGAAACUAAGUAGUGAAAGAUUUGACCCCAGCAGUCACAGGCCAAGCAACGGGGGCACUCCAACCAGGCUUCAACCUACUAACAACCAGUUUUAACCAAGUACUGUGUUCGCCACUAAGGGGCCAGCUCUAUCUCUAGUCCAGAGUAGAGGUCGGGUUGGGAAGAAAAGAAUCCAGUGAGUAAAGUAGGGGUGCCGCGCCUUAGGAGGUAUAAUAGAAGAAGGUAGUUAACUAUGCGCUCUCUACUCUUAAGGCAUCAUUGAACUAUAACUAGGGCUUCGAACACCAAUUCAUUACUACCACUAAACCAAUGCAAUGAAAAAAGACGGUAAAACGCAAAAGUUGAUGACUUGAGGACCUCGCCUGGAGGGAAAUUGUCUUUGCAACGAAAAAUCCCGGGGCCAAGUCACUACUAAUGUGAUGCGGCAGGAGUCCCCGCACAAAUCUCAUUUCCAUGGAUCGGUCCAGGAAGGAAAAGGACGAAGCUACCUUUUUUACCGAGAAAACGCCAAAUGAUCAUUAGAAAUUGGACAUCUAUUAGCGGGCCAAGGAACUACUAAUGUUCCGCGGCAGGAGCUCCCCGUCGCUAUCAAAAAACACGGUAAAACGCAAGAUGAUUGCCCAAACAAGUAGUAUAGUAGUAGAAUCCCUUGUUCCUGUUCAUAAGUAAGGUUAUGAGAGGCCCUUAUAGUCAGUCGGGAACCAUCUUUGGAAGCAGUUAAGUCAGUUCAGUUCACCAAAUCACCAAAACCAGAGCAAAGGUAGAGGAGAAAGAGGUGUAGUUAGAGAAGUAGAGGAGCCAUCAAUAGCAGUUGUUUGUCUAUCCGUUCCUUGGCUCAUAGCUUCGUUAGUUUAGUGGUUGAGUGGUAGUAAUUCAUUGGUGGCAGAUAUAUAAGUUGCCCCUUAUAGUAGUAGUCCAUUUGAAUCUGUAUUAGUUGUGACCAGUAGUAGUCCUGUUCUGGUGAUUGUUUCAUACCGGUUGUACUGUUCUGGUUCUAAAGUAAGAGUAGCUGUUUCAAAGCAAGGACUUAUUGGCAUACUAAUAAGAAUAGAGUAGUGGAUCCGGAUCGGCAGUUAUGGCCUGUUUGUAAGAUGUUCGAGUCUUCUAGUCGUUAGCGCGAUUCCUAGUUGUUAAUUCGAAAGUGUUAGCUGGCUCCCCAGUGCCUAGUCCCGUCCUUGUAUGCCAAGUUCCAUUCUCUCUUUUGAGUUAGAGCUCGAGAAGCAGUAUAGCAGAGUUCCCGGUUUUAUAGGUCAAUUCUUCUAGUUGGAAGCUCGAUUCUGAUGUCGUAGUGGUUGGAAGCUCGCUUUUGAGCUGAAGUACGAGAAGUCAAAGUGCAGUUCUUGGUAGCACUAGGUUGAGAAUAACAAGAAACAAAGUCGGACUUAAUAUAAAGUAAGGCAGGGCAGUCUAACUAUAUUAAUAGGAAACUUUACUCCAACAAGAAAUGGCAGGCUAACUAUUAUGUGUUGAAUUCUAUCAGCUAGCAGAUGAAGUUGGAAGCUCGCAAGUAAGAACCUGUGCCAGUAAUCAUAGAAUGAGAUUAUGGAGCUAUAGGCUAAAAGCAAGUACUAGAAGAAUCAGAGGUAGAGCGCUAAGCCUGAGAUAAAGUAGAAAAAGACUGAUCUAUGAAUAAGGCGUGUGUACCGCUUGCUUGUGUAUUCGAGUAGUAAGGUCGUUUGACUUAGUCUCUUCGCUCGGGUAGUUAGCAGUGGGGCGAGCUUACAUACUUGAAGGCUGGAAUGUCAGUUCGAAGCUAACGAGUAGAAGCCUACAGCGCAGAAGCUAUAAUGCAAGUAAGGAUCCAACGACCCAAACUAAGUAAAAGUAGAAUGGAGCUACUGGCAAACAGACUUGAGCAAUACCUGAUAUAAUGGAACUGGUGCUUCUCAUAAUAGAGCUUACUGCCUAGCAGGUAAACUAUAGGUCUUACUCUCCUAGCGAUCAGUCUGCCCUGCCGCUACACAUUAGUAGUUACUUGGCGCGUAACACACACUAUUUGCUUUCCCUAAGUCUAAGCCUAAUUGACUCUACAGAUAAGCCUAAUUGAAAUAGUAAGGAACAUCGGAGAGAAGAAUAAGAAUAGAAAUAAGGCUACUAAUACUCACAUCAGAACGAAACAACAACUCUGUUAAUGAAACAAAGAACUCAGAUGAGAACUCGGAACUGGGAAUGUAGCUAGUGGGUAUCAGGCUAUCCCGGCCCGAGUUACAGGCUUCACUCACUUACUUUCGGACUCAAACGACUCCUACUCAGGCUGAAGCUAAGGGUAAGCUAGACUGAUAUCGGGUAGUCAAAGAAUCAAACUAGGGCUAGCAAGCCUUCAACGAGGAAGUGACAGACUGAUGCUAAGGAGGGAAAGAACCAAACCAGUGCUAUCCAGGAAUGGGAGGAGGUAGUUACAGGCCUAAACUCAGAAGUAAGGGCUUCCACUACGUCAACAAGACUCAUGCUCAUAACUAAGACUAAACUGGGGGCAGCGCCUCUAACCUCCUGUGUCCGCUUCUACGGCUCUAACUCAUAACUUAGCUAUGGUUUAAUAAGUACCCAUUUGUAUUAUCUGUUAUUUACCACUAGAAACUCCUGUCUAAGCCUUUUUAUCCCCUGUAGUUCUCUUCUCUGCCUAUAUCUCCUGUUUCUCAAGCUGACACUCCGCUCCUAGCUUUUAAGUAUUGCUGACUUCACUGGCACUCCGAGCUUUGAUUCCGACUUCCUUGACUUUGAGUCUUACUUAUUUGUUUGGCUCCUCCGCUCCUAACUCUGACUAUUACACUCCUUGGUGAAAGCCUCCCUUGUUAGACUUCUGCUUUUAGUUGCUUAGCCCCAGCCUUACGUCCAUGUUUUAGUCUUUGACUCACCUCUGGAACUCUUUAACUGUUAUACAAACUUAUAUAAAGAAUAUUGAUACUAGAACCAAGGUGCUGAAAGCCUCAUACUAUCAGAGUGACCCUACUGCUUCUAGGGCAAACAACUCCAAGUUUGGAUGAAACUAUAGCACCAACGCUCUUAUUCCUUACCCCAAUGCACUAGCCCACUUUCAAACUUACACUCCGGGGACCCGAUCUUACUUUCCGGGCUUUUAAAGCUAUAUUUCACCUAUAAGGCUUGCUUCCCUGUAUUUCUAUAAUUAUGAAAAUCCAGACUUGUUUUCUUGAUUCCAUCAGUUAGUCUGCCUCUACUCGUUUUAAGUCUCUCUUUCCUGGCUACCACUCUUACUUUCCUGCCUCCCUUUACUUGGGUUCAAACUUUGACUACUGCCCUAUAAGACAUACCUAUAAGAAUACCACCUAUCAAACUGGGAUCGAACUACAGCUAAUAGGACUGACACGGGGAACUCCGCCUUUCUCCCCUUUCUUUUAUUCUUGGAUAACUAACUACAAUACUAUAGUAGUAGCUAACGGUACGAGGCUAGCGCAUCUAAUCUAGUAAUAUACUAAUAGUGGUCUGAUCUAGGGCAUUAGAAUACUUAUAGUGGUAAGUGGUACGAAUGCAAAAAGAACUAAUCAGAAAACAAAUAAGAAGUCAGAAGUCGACUAAGAAGUAUAGUAGCGCAUCUAGAGAUGUAGAAUCAAACAAGCAAGUUGGAAUCGAACAAUAACACGGGAAUGAGACCCCGAACCCAGUAGGGUAAGGGCUAAUGCUCAAAGUCAGAACCAACCCUACAAUAAAGAAGAAAGUAGAAAAGGUCAGGAGAAUAAACAACCAAAAUGAGGCAAGUAGGAAAAGUCAGAGACAAGCUAACGCAAGAAUCGAACCGCUACUGGAGAGAAUCAAACUUGUAAUAAAGAAUCCGACUGCUGGCUUCUAGGGUGACUAAAAGACUUUACCUACCGCUAUAGGAAUGCGUCUACUGCUUAUAAGAAUUCAACCCGAAACUUCUCAGGCUGUAGCUACUAACUAUCAG